rnacentral:rRNA from 1 species
GAUGAACGCUGGCGGCGUGCCUAAUACAUGCAAGUCGAGCGAACAGACGAGGAGCUUGCUCCUCUGACGUUAGCGGCGGACGGGUGAGUAACACGUGGAUAACCUAUCUAUAAGACUGGGAUAACUUCGGGAAACCGGAGCUAAUACCGGAUAAUAUAUUGAACCGCAUGGUUCAAUAGUGAAAGACGGUUUUGCUGUCACUUAUAGAUGGAUCCGCGCCGCAUUAGCUAGUUGGUAAGGUAACGGCUUACCAAGGCAACGAUGCGUAGCCGACCUGAGAGGCUGAUCGGCCACACUGGAACUGAGACACGCUCCAGACUCCUACGGGAGGCAGCAGUAGGGAAUCGUCCGCAAUGGGCGAAAGCCUGACGGAGCAACGCCGCGUGAGUGAUGAAGUUCUUCUGAUCGUAAAACUCUGUUAUUAGGGAAGAACAAAUGUGUAAGUAACUAUGCACGUCUUGACGGUACCUAAUCAGAAAGCCACGGCUAACUACGUG